rnacentral:misc_RNA from 1 species
UGAUGCAUGACGACCCCUUCCUUUAGUCUUCUUUGGAGCGGUGGACUGUUCACCUUUGGCAAAAUGUGCAAAUAACUCAGUUUGCUGCAAGAGAUACUUCAAUCGCCCCUGUCCCUUGACAUUCAUGUCAGCUUCAAUGGCAGCAUUCUGUGAAUCCAACAUGUCUUGUAUUUUCUGCUUCUUCAUCCUCUGCAUCUCUUUCAACCUGGCCUUUUCGCGCUUCGAGAUUUCAUUGACUGCAACCCCUUCCUCAUUAUCCUCAUCUUCUUGGUCCGCUCCAUCGCUAGGAGCAUCAUCGUCUUCCUCUUCGUCGGAGUCCUCAGCGGCCCUCGCGACGGCCUGAAGUUCCUCUUCAUCUUCGUCGUCAUUGACCUGACCUCGAACUUGCUCCUCCUCGGAACUUUCCGAUACAGACUCCUCCGACGAUGAUCUAUCUCUCGACGGUUUCCCCAUGGCGACGAUGCUAG